rnacentral:tRNA from 1 species
GGUUGUAUAGCUCAGCGGUAGAGCACCUGCAUGACUCGCAGGCGGUCGGAGGUUCGAUCCCUCUUGCAACCAC